rnacentral:lncRNA from 1 species
CACAGAAAAGGGACUCAAAGUUGUCACUCAACUUUCAUUUUUUUGUGUUGUUGUCAUCCAAGACUUUGAGGAGAGGAAGAGAGAGGAAGAGGAAGAAAUGUGACAACAUGCAGUCAACCACGUGUUCAUGAAGGGUACGGUAUCUAUGUGUGAAUGGGGUAGUACUGCCGUAUUAUGGGGGAGAGAGAGGGAGGAUGUCAGAGAGGUGGGAGGAGGAGAGAGGUGGGAGGAUGUCAGAGAAGUGGGAGGAGGAGAGAGGUGGGAGGAUGAGAGAGGUGGGAGGAUGAGAGAGGUGGGAGGAGGGGAAAGGUGGGAGGAUGAGAGAGGUGGGAGGAGGAGAGAGGUGGGAGUAGGGGAGAGGUGGGAGGAUGUCAGAGAGGUGGGAGGAUGUCAGAGAAGUGGGAGGAUGUCAGAGAAGUGGGAGGAUGUCAGAGAAGUGGGAGGAUGUCAGAGAGGUGGGAGGAUGUCAGAGAAAGGUAACAAACGAGAGAUGAAUAGAGGACAGGAGAUAAAGAGAAGAAAUAAAGCAGCCAAUCAGGACUCCUGGUCCAAAAGGGCGCUAGGCUGAGUUAACAGCGUCACUGCAUGCAGAGCUUUAUUUUUUUCCUCUCUCAGUUAUAGAAAAACUGUUGUAACUAUGAACCACUGAUUAACGUAGGUUCAUUUACUAUGUGAAUUUAUUGCGGUUAAAACAAUGACAUGUUCAGACAGACUUCAGAUCAGAAACUGAAUUGUACUCAACUUGGUCUUGAAUGAACAGAGCACAUUCACCUAGACACAGAGCAAAGCUGCGGUACCUGAUGGACUUCCCCCUCCCAUACACUCUACUGUCCUAAUGAAGUUCUCUUCACAUUUACAAACCCAAUGUUCAAUGUUCAUAUUCCCUCAUCUCUCAAUGUAUGCAUCCUUACCUUCACCACCCUCUCAAACUUUUUGGCCAAAUAUUGAGCUUUGAAUGUUACCAGAAAAGUGGGAAUCAUUUAACACUGUCUCAACUUCAUGUUUUUCUACUUCUUUCUAAGGAGGGAGAGAUGCUUUCUUGUCAUCGAAGGAGGGAGAGAUGCUUUAACGUCAUCGAAGGAGGGAGAGAUGCUUUCUUGUCAUCGAAGGAGGGAGAGAUGCUUUAACGUC